AAGUAAGAAGCAAACCAUUGCAUUUAGUUUCGACCUAAAAAUCUGACCGACUGUCCUUAUUUU
rnacentral:tRNA from 1 species